ensembl:lncRNA
AAAAAAAAUUUUUUUUUCUUCUUCUCCCUGUAAAAGAAACUCAGAGACUGACGAGGAUCUUCUGUUAUGGAAGGCGACUUUUCAGGCGUUUUCUGUUUCCCCAGGCAGCUGGGCCGUUGGCGUUCCCAGGCGGAAGCGGGGCCUCUGGGCUGGGCCUCUGCCCUGCCAGGAAGCGGUCUGGGGGCGGCCCCUCGGGUCAUCACUGAUGGGGCAAGACCACGCAUUCCCCACGACCCCCGACUUCUGAACAGUUCAGAAAGUUUGUAGUUUAAAAACCAAACAAAAAAUACUGGCACAACUUCUAUUGCCGUAUUGGCCUCUCCCUUAAUAAAAAUACGGUAACAUGAAGCGAUCAUUUUUUAAAAAUCUGUUUUCAAAUUAUAACACCAAAAAGGGGCAAGGCACAGCUUUGUAAGGUAAUGAGUUCCCCGUCCUCAGAGGCGUUCAAGCAGACACUAGGCUUACAGUGGCAUGGAGAGUGUUCUUUCUCUUUGGAACUGGAUGAGCCCUCAGACCCUUGAAACGCCGAGUUUUUUUGGUUUUUGUUUUUGUUUUUGUUUUUGUUUUUUUUUUACUCCUAUGUUUAUUACAUUUUAAUCCAACAGCAUAUAAUCUAAACUGCUCCCUCACGGAGAGCCGCGGCUGUGCCACCUGCCUGCUUUGGCCACGGAGACCGGAGUCAGGCCUGCGGGGAAAAAGGUAUGCCUUCCCAAGUCCUUUGCCAGCUGGUUGCCCCGGGCCUCCCGGACUCUGCGUGCCGUGGAUCUGGACCCCGACUGCAGACACCGCCCCACGACUGGGCCUCCGGCCAGACUGUUGCCCCACAGGAGGAGGGUUCCCUAAGUGUGCAGAAGAGGAAAGUUCAUUUAUAAAGAAAGACCUUGCUCCUUCGAACUGAACGACCCCCACGCCCGAGGCCUAGCUGUGUCCCCGCCGGGCCCAGGCGGAGCUCACUCCACACUGCUCCAUAGCAGGGCAGAGACUCCGAGAGGGCCUGGGAGUCCUGGCCUCAGAGGACCCACCGCCCCGCAGGCCUGCCCAAGCAGGCGCCCCCGAGAGAGUGCGGGACAGAGAGGGCCUGGCGGGGCUCCUUGGCGCUCAGAGCCUUCCUUCUCCGCUGCACCCAGCUCUGCCAACGGGGCUGGAUGAGUGGGGGCUGGAGUCAGAAUCCCAGGGUCCACACCCGUCGACGGCCGCAAUGCGGACCCGCCCUGCCUUUCUCCUAAGGAGAGAGGGAAACAGCCCUGCGGGUGACCCCAGCCUGACCACCAAGAGAGCGCCAGCGUUUCUGUUUUCCUAGAGUGAAAACGUCAAAUCGAUGGGGGCUCCUACGCCGCUGGACACAGGUGUGCCCGGGCGUCCAGUGCGCGCAACACACGCCCAGACACUCUAUAUGCAAAUACGCCCGCCGCCGCGGGGCCGGCCGGGAGGCAGCGUUUGUUCGCUGGGGCUCUGCUAGAAGUCAUUCUGUCUCCCGCUGGUUUAAUAUCCGCCCUCUGCGGUCUCCGCUCGCCUCGGCGGCUACCCAAGCGCCCCCGGGAGGGUCCCGGCUCCGCCGAAAACUGCAGCCUGCCAGGCGGAGCCGCCGCGCGCUGGGAGGUUAAUAGCGACUGACGACAAAGGGCCAAGGUGCAAUUCCGAAAGCGGGGAUUCGCCGGGCGAGGCAGAAAUCGGCCUCCAGGGAGACGGGUCCCCCCUUCCCGACGCGCCACUACAGCCCGGCGCCGGGCCUCCGGGCGGGGAUCCUUCUUCCAGGCGUCGCGGCCCCAUUCGGCGGAGAGCUAGGCCCUCCCCAGGCCUCCGAAUAGGGAGCGGACAGGGGUGGUGGGGAAGGGAAGCCGCCGGCGGGACGAAGAGUGGGGUCCCCUGGAGCCCUGGGGCGGGCAGGCCCGGCGCGCGGGCAGCUCCGUUGCACUGAUUUGUGAGCGAUGCCGAUGGCCUCACUGCCGCGCGGCGCGAACCCCAAGUAGACCAUUCAUGUUUCUAUUAAUAAUCUCAAACACUUCAUGAUAUUUAUGCUGCCUGCCCAGAGAAAAUAAAAGGCCAUUCUUGAACC